UUGGAGGGCAAGUCUGGUGCCAGCAGCCGCGGUAAUUCCAGCUCCAAUAGCGUAUAUUAAAGUUGUUGCAGUUAAAAAGCUCGUAGUUGAAUUUCGGGAUCAAUAUGUCGGUCGUGCCAUUGGUACGUACUGGUAUCAUUGAUUUCUCCUUUCUGACGAACCAUGAUGUCAUUAAUUUGGUGUUAUGGGGAGUUAGGACUGUUACUUUGAAAAAAUUAGAGUGUUUAAAGCAGGCAUUAGCUUGAAUACAUUAGCAUGGAAUAAUGAAAUAGGACGUUUGACCCUAUUUUGUUGGUUUCUAGGAUCGACGUAAUGAUUAAUAGGGAUAGUUGGGGGCAUUAGUAUUCAAUUGUCAGAGGUGAAAUUCUUGGAUUUAUUGAAGACUAACUACUGCGAAAGCAUUUGCCAAGGAUGUUUUCAUUAAUCAAGAACGAAAGUUAGGGGAUCGAAGACGAUCAGAUACCGUCGUAGUCUUAACCAUAAACUAUGCCGACUAGGGAUCGGAUGAUGUUAAUUUUUUAAUGACUCAUUCGGCGCCUUACGGGAAAC
rnacentral:rRNA from 1 species